rnacentral:rRNA from 1 species
AGUGAACGCUGGCGGUAGGCCUAACACAUGCAAGUCGAACGGCAGCACAGUAAGAGCUUGCUCUUACGGGUGGCGAGUGGCGGACGGGUGAGGAAUACAUCGGAAUCUACUUUUUCGUGGGGGAUAACGUAGGGAAACUUACGCUAAUACCGCAUACGACCUACGGGUGAAAGCAGGGGAUCUUCGGACCUUGCGCGAUUGAAUGAGCCGAUGUCGGAUUAGCUAGUUGGCGGGGUAAAGGCCCACCCAGGCGACGAUCCGUAGCUGGUCUGAGAGGAUGAUCAGCCACACUGGAACUGAGACGCGGUCCAGACUCCUACGGGAGGCAGCAGUGGGGAAUAUUAGACAAUGGGCGCAAGCCUGAUCCAGCCAUACCGCGUGGGUGAAGAAGGCCUUCGGGUUGUAAAGCCCUUUUGUUGGGAAAGAAAAGCAGCAGGUUAAUACCCCGCUGUUCUGACGGUACCCAAAGAAUAAGCACCGGCUAACUUCGUG